rnacentral:rRNA from 1 species
CUGCUGCCUUCCGUAGGAGUCUGGGCCGUGUCUCAGUCCCAGUGUGGCCGUCCGCCCUCUCAGGCCGGCUACUGAUCGUCGCUUUGGUAGGCCGUUACCCUGCCAACUGGCUAAUCAGACGCGGGCCCAUCCUGUACCACCGGAGUUUUCAGGGAAAAGCCAUGCGGCUUCCCCCGUUAUGCGGUAUUAGCACCUGUUUCUAAGUGUUAUCCCCCUGUACAGGCCAGGUUGCCCACGCGUUACUCACCCGUCCGCCACUCAUG